UCAAGUGAAUAAGUGCAUACGACGGAUGCCUUGGCAGUAGAAGGCGAUGAAGGACGUGAUAAUCUGCGAUAAGCUUCGGUUAGCUGAUAAUAAGCUCUAACCCGGAGAUCUCCGAAUGGGAAAACCCAGUGAUCAUAAGAUCAUUAUCCUUAACUGAAUACAUAGGUUAAGGAGGCAAACCUAGGGAACUGAAACAUCUAAGUACCUAGAGGAAAAGAAAUCAACCGAGAUUCCCUUAGUAGCGGCGAGCGAACGGGGACCAGCCCUUAAGCAAUUUUUUGAUUAGUAGAAUGUUCUGGAAAGUUCAACGACACAGGGUGAUAGUCCCGUAUACGAAAAUCUUUUAAUUGUGAAAUCGAGUAAGGCGGCGCACGUGAAACGCUGUUUGAAAAUGGGGGGACCACCCUCCAAGGCUAAAUACUCUCUACUGACCGAUAGUGAACAAGUACCGUGAGGGAAAGGCGAAAAGAACCCCGGGAGGGGAGUGAAAUAGAACCUGAAAUCGUAUGCAUACAAGCAGUGGGAGCAGACUUGUUCUGUGACUGCGUACCUUUUGUAUAAUGGGUCAGCGACUUACUUCUCAGUAGCAAGGUUAACCAUUAGGGGAGCCGUAGGGAAACCGAGUCUUAAAUGGGCGUUUAGUUGCUGGGAGUAGACCCGAAACCGGGUGAUCUAUCCAUGGCCAGGGUGAAGGUUAGGUAAAACUAACUGGAGGCCCGAACCCACUUAUGUUGAAAAAUGAGGGGAUGAGCUGUGGAUAGGGGUGAAAGGCCAAUCAAACCCGGAGAUAGCUGGUUCUCUCCGAAAUCUAUUUAGGUAGAGCGUCAUGUAUUACUUCUGGGGGUAGAGCACUGUUAUGGCUAGCGGGUCGUCAAGACUUAGUAAACCAUUGCAAACUCCGAAUACCAGAAAGUAUGAGCAUGGCAGACACACUGCGGGUGCUAACGUCCGUAGUGGAAAGGGAAACAACCCAGACCGUCAGCUAAGGUCCCAAAGUGUAUGUUAAGUGGGAAACGAUGUGGGAAGGUUUAGACAGCUAGGAGGUUGGCUUAGAAGCAGCCAUCCUUUAAAGAAAGCGUAAUAGCUCACUAGUCGAAUCGGCCUGCGCGGAAGAUAUAACGGGGCUCAAACAUACCACCGAAGCUACGGACGCAUGCUUGCAUGCGUGGUAGAGGAGCGUUCUGUAGGCCGUUGAAGGGAAAGCUGAGAGGCAUCCUGGAGGUAUCAGAAGUGCGAAUGCUGACAUGAGUAACGAUAAGGGGAGUGAAAAGCUCCCCCGCCGGAAGACCAAGGUUUCCUAUCCAAUGCUAAUCAGGGUAGGGUGAGUCGGCCCCUAAGGCGAGGCUGAAGAGCGUAGUCGAUGGGAAGCAGGUUAAUAUUCCUGCACCACUCAAUAUUGCGAAGGAGGGACGGAGAAGGCUAGUCCAGCACGGCGUUGGUUGUCCGUGUUUAAGCGUGUAGGCUGGGAGUUUAGGUAAAUCCGGACUCCCUUAAGGCUGAGGCGUGAUGACGAGGUCCAUUAGGACUGAAGUGGUUGAUGCCAUGCUUCCAGGAAAAUCUUCUAAGCAUCAGAUAUUGAGUGACCGUACCCCAAACCGACACAGGUGGUCAGGUAGAGAAUACCAAGGCGCUUGAGAGAACUCGGGUGAAGGAACUAGGCAAAAUGGUACCGUAACUUCGGGAGAAGGUACGCCGCUGAUGGUGAUGGGACUUGCUCCCUAAGCUGUUGGCGGCCGAAGAUACCAGGUGGCUGCGACUGUUUAUUAAAAACACAGCACUGUGCAAACACGAAAGUGGACGUAUACGGUGUGACGCCUGCCCGGUGCCGGAAGGUUAAUUGAUGGGGUUAGCUUCGGCGAAGCUCUUGAUCGAAGCCCCGGUAAACGGCGGCCGUAACUAUAACGGUCCUAAGGUAGCGAAAUUCCUUGUCGGGUAAGUUCCGACCUGCACGAAUGGCGUAACGACGGCCACACUGUCUCCACCCGAGACUCAGUGAAAUUGAAAUCGCUGUUAAGAUGCA
rnacentral:rRNA from 1 species